GACGAACGCUGGCGGCGUGCUUAACACAUGCAAGUCGAACGGUGAAGCGCCUUCCUUUUUGGUGGGUGUGGAUGAGUGGCGAACGGGUGAGUAACACGUGAGUAACCUGCCCCCUUCUUCUGGAUAACCGCAUGAAAGUGUGGCCAAUACGGGAUAUUCUGGGUCUGUCGCAUGAUGGGUCUGGGAAAGAUAUUGUUUCGGUGGGGGAUGGGCUCGCGGCCUAUCAGCUUGUUGGUGGGGUGAUGGCCUACCAAGGCGGUGACGGGUAGCCGGCCUGAGAGGGUGGACGGUCACACUGGGACUGAGACACGGCCCAGACUCCUACGGGAGGCAGCAGUGGGGAAUAUUGCACAAUGGGCGCAAGCCUGAUGCAGCGACGCCGCGUGAGGGAUGGAGGCCUUCGGGUUGUGAACCUCUUUCGCCAGUGAAGCAGGCCUGCCUCGUUUGUGGGUGGGUUGACGGUAGCUGGAGAAGAAGCGCCGGCUAACUACGUG
rnacentral:rRNA from 1 species